AGGAGCUUCCGCGAGGCUCGCCCGGCAGCUCCUGCUCCACAGCAGGCUUCCUACUUUGACGCCUCACGCGCUCUUCAGCUCUCUUUUUCUGUGGGUCUCGCGGCUCUCCCCCUCUACAAUUACGAGUAGUGCCUUGAGCCGGGCGUUCGGAGACCCACACAGGAGGGACAGGAUGGGGAGAGCGGCAUUAAAGGGUGGUGACUCAGGAGUUCAAGACCAGCCUGGCCAACAUGACGAAACCCCGUCUCUACCAAAAAUACAAAAAUUAGCCAGGCAUGAUGGCGGACGCCUGUAAUCCCACCUACUCGGGCGGCUGAGGCAGGAGAAUCGCUUGAACCCGGGAGGCGGAGGUUGCAGUGAGGCGAGAUAGCGCCACUACACUCCAGCCUGGGCGACAGAGCGAGACUCCGUCUCAAAAUAAAAAUAAAAAAAAAAUAAAGGCGGGGUGGUGGUGGUGACAAGCCCCUAUUACGGCCUUAGUGCGGGAUUCCCCUUGGGGCGGGAGACGUCGUCCUUCCGGGUGCGGGUGCGGACUGCAAGUCCUAUCGGGGACCGCGACACCGGACUGCAUCCGCCAGCGUCCAGGGCGUAGCGCCCCCCAGGCGCUGCCUUCGUCCAUCUCUACGGGGAGUGGCGGCCAGAAGACUGGGUUUUCCCCGUGCAGCUGUGCCCCACGUUGGGGAAACUGACUUUUCAGAGUAAAAGCCAAGACCUUAAAAUGGUUCCAAAGUCCCAACAUAAUCUGGCCCCGUUACUCCAGGAACACUGGCCUUUUUGCUGUUUUCCAAACCUGCCAGAUGGCCUCACCCCUUAGUGCCAUCCAGUGAUGAAGUCACCAGGUGGAGGUGGUGCUGGCUAAAACUCGAAGAUUAUUCCUUUACUCUGAGAAUCUCCUCAACAUCCACCAUUCCUGCUAUCUGGAACUCAAGUCAUCAGCAUACAGAACUACAAUCAGAAAAAGAGUCAGCCCCACUGUAGGCCCCCAAAUACUAAGGGACAAAAUGUUGCAUCUUCUGAUUCUAAAGCCCAUUCUCUUUCCACUAUAUCAAUAACCCUCAAAUUCAUGCCAAAUGUACAUUAGUUUUUGUGUCUGGUACUUUCCUUCUUAGAGUGCUUGGGGAGGAUGGUGGGAAGGAAUGAAGAGGACAAGGACAGACUCGUCUGCCUCAAUACAUCCACAUAGUGGACACCACUGUCUUUUGGGAAGCUUCCCCCUCUCUCAGGAGUACGUGAGUAAGUUGUUUCCCUGGCUACCUUCCUGGGGAACCAAAGUUUGCGGGGAAAGAACACAUCAAAGUGCUUGUUGCAAAGAAGAACCUCCUCUUUAUUCCACAUAUAGAAGCUGUGUUUCCAGAGCUGGGAAAGGGCUUCGACCUGGCCCUACCUCUGUGUGGGCCUAGAGAUGAAGGUCUAGGGCCGGGCGUGGUGGCUCACACCUGUAAUCCCAGCUACUUGGGAGGCUGAGGCAUGAGAUUUGCUUGAACCCGGGAGGCGGAGGUUGCGGUGAGCUGAGAUCGUGUCAUUGCACUCCAGCCUGGGCAAUAAGAGUGAAACACCGUCUCAAAAAA
rnacentral:lncRNA from 1 species